rnacentral:rRNA from 1 species
GACGAACGCUGGCGGCGUGCCUAAUACAUGCAAGUAGAACGCUGAAGGAGGAGCUUGCUUCUCUGGAUGAGUUGCGAACGGGUGAGUAACGCGUAGGUAACCUGCCUGGUAGCGGGGGAUAACUAUUGGAAACGAUAGCUAAUACCGCAUAAGAGUAGAUGUUGCAUGACAUUUACUUAAAAGGUGCAAUUGCAUCACUACCAGAUGGACCUGCGUUGUAUUAGCUAGUUGGUGGGGUAACGGCCCACCAAGGCGACGAUACAUAGCCGACCUGAGAGGGUGAUCGGCCACACUGGGACUGAGACACGGCCCAGACUCCUACGGGAGGCAGCAGUAGGGAAAUUUUUGGCA